UCACGAAUCAUUGGCAAUGCGCGCAAGCGUGACCAUGCAACGCCGCGUGGGCGAUGAAGGCCUUCGGGUUGUAAAGCCCUGUCAGGGGUGAGGAAAUGUACGGGUCCACUCGUACUUGACGUUAGCCCCAGAGGAAGUCACGGCUAACUCCGUGCCAGCAGCCGCGGUAAUACGGAGGUGGCGAACGUUGCUCGGAAUCACUGGGCUUAAAGGGCGUGUAGGCGGUUGAUCAAGUCGGGUGUGAAAGCCCUCGGCCUAACCGAGGAACUGCAUUCGAUACUGGUCGGCUAGAGUGCGGGAGGGGUAAGUGGAACUCCAGGUGUAGCGGUGAAAUGCGUAGAUAUCUGGAGGAACGCCGGUGGCGAAAGCGACUUACUGGCCCGCAACUGACGCUGAGGCGCGAAAGCUAGGGGAGCGAACGGGAUUAGAUACCCCCGUAGUCC
rnacentral:rRNA from 1 species